AUGACUUAGAAAUGAAUGAUUGUGAUGGAUUUGUAAUGUUGUGAGAGAGUGAAGUUGUUUCUCACUCCUCCAACGUUAAAUCAUGCUCUUUGAGCUCUUUGCUUUGUGAACAAGUUGAAUACACUAAAACCUUGAAAGAAAGCUCUGCUCUCUGUGUGUGUGUGCACUUACUGUUCCAUUAAAUCUACCCAGAAAAUCAAACACUAAUAUGGCCUCAGAGCCAGGUUGGAUUUCAAUCUGGGCGUGAAUAUGUGACAAGGGUUGCAGCUAAGGAACUCGGCAGAGAAUCGAGUUUGCUGCGAUUGAAGAACAAUCUGAAAAUCACUAGGUAACUCGAGAACAAGUCUAAUAUGGCUGGAUCGAGUGGUGCUGAUCUUCGAGCACCGAUUUUCAAUGGGGAAAACUUUGAUUUCUGGCAAAUAAAGAUGAAGACUAUUUUCAGAUCUCACGAUCUGUGGGAUAUGGUUGAAACGGGGUAUAAUCCUCCGCUGAAGAAAGAAGACGAAGAACUCACUACCGCUGAGCUAAAGCAGCUGAAGGAGAACAUGAUCAAGGAUGCUAAGGCUCUCGGGAUUAUUCAAGGUUCUGUGUCCGAUGAAAUUUUCCCGCGAAUCGCCAUUCUAGAAACAGCAAAAGAAGCCUGGGAUAUACUGAAGCAAGAGUUUAUUGGAGAUAAACAGGUGAGAUCUGUGAAACUUCAAAGCUUAAGGCGUGAUUUUGAAUAUACUCGAAUGGGUGAACAUGAAUUAUUUUCUGUGUAUCUUGUGCGUUUGUUUGAUCUCAUUACGCAAAUGAAAAGUUAUGGUGAGAGUAUUGGAAAUCAAAGAAUAGUGCAGAAAUUAUUGAUUAGUCUUCCUAGAUCCUAUGAUAGUAUUGUAGCUGUGAUUGAGAAUACACAGGAUUUGGAGACAGUUGAUGUGCAGGAUGUAGUUGCCACUCUAAAAGGGUUUGAGCAAAGAAUUGAGAGACACUCUGAAAAUAAUACGGAAAAAGCCUUUGCUAGUUUAAGUAUAGCUCCCAGGAAGAACAAUUACAAUGGCAAUCAAAGUUUUAAACCCACAAAGAACUGGCAGACAAAGAGUAAGAAAUGGGAUAACAAAUUUGUGCACCAUCAAGGAAAAUUUACUGGGCCUUCUGAUAAUGUCAAGAAUGCUUGUAAGUACUGUGAUAAACUUCAUUUUGGAGAGUGUUGGUUCAAGGGAAAACCAAGGUGCCAUAACUGUGAUAAGCUAGGGCAUUUUGUUAAGGAUUGCAGGUCAAAGAAGGUUACUCAACAGGCCAAUUAUGUCAAACAAGUGGAGAACAAUCCAACCAUGUUCUAUGUGUGUAUGGCUGCUGCAGUGAAGAAGGGAGAAGAUGUUUGGUAUGUUGAUAGUGGCUGCAGUAAUCACAUGACAGGAAGAGAAGAUUUACUGGAGAACAUUGAUAGAAGUGUUACUGCCAAAGUUGAGAUGGGCACAGGGGAGUUGGUUAAUGUAGUUGGAAAAGGAGAGUUAAUGGUUGCAACUAAGCAAGGCAAACGGUACAUCAAGGAGAUCAUGUUAGUACCUGGUUUAAAGGAGAAUCUAUUGAGCGUGGGACAAAUGAUGGAGCAUGGAUAUUAUCUUGUGUUUGGAGGAAUUGAAGUCAGAAUUUAUGAAGAUUUUACAUGCUCUAAUCUGGUUGUUAAAAUUCCUAUGAAGGGAAAUCGAAGCUUUCCUUUGAAGUUGCAACCAAGAAUACAAAUGGCUAUGAGGGCAGGUGUUAAACAAGCAGCUGAGAUAUGGCAUAGAAGACUCGGGCAUCUAAAUAUGAAGGCUCUCAUGCAACUUCAAGAGCAUGACAUGGUGACUGGUUUACCUGAGCUCAGAAUGAAUUCCACAGUAUGUGAGGGAUGUGCUAUUGGAAAGCAUUCUAGAGAUGCUUUUCCUAAAGAAACAAACUGGAGGGCUGCACUACCAUUGGAGUUAAUACAUACUGAUAUAUGUGGACCAAUGCAAACACUUACCAAAGCUGGAAACAAGUAUUUCAUCACUUUCACAUAUGAUUGUACCAGAAUGGGAUGGGUCUAUUUUCUGAGAAACAAGUCUGAAGCAUUUGGCAUAUUUAAAAGGUUCAAGGCAACUGUUGAAUUACAAAGUGGAUUCAAAGUGAAGAAAUUAAGGAGUGACAGGGGAGGGGAGUAUACUUCUCUGGAAUUCUCUCAGUAUUGUGAAGAUCUUGGCCUAGAAAGACAACUCACAGUGGCCUAUUCUCCUCAACAGAAUGGUGUUGCUGAGAGAAGAAAUAGGACCAUUGUAGAAAUGGCUAAAUGCUUGAUGUUGGAGAAAGGGAUUCCAUUUGAAUUUUGGGCAGAAGCAGUUAACACUGCAGUCUACAUUCUCAAUAGAUGUCCUACAAAGGUUUUGCAUAAGAAGACUCCAUUUGAAGCUUAUAGUGGAAGAAAGCCUGGAGUAAAACAUUUAAAAGUGUUUGGAUCCUUAUGUUAUGCACAGGUUCCAUCACAGAUGAGGCAGAAACUGGAUGCAACAAGUGUAAUGUGCAUAUUCCUUGGCUAUGGAACAUGUGAAAAGGGUUAUAGGUUGUUCAAUCCUAAAACUAACAAGAUUGUUAUUUCUAGAGAUGUAAUCUUUGAUGAAAACUCUUGUUGGGAUUGGAAAUCUGGUAAUAAGAAGACUAUGUCCAUCUCAGUUCCAAGUGAUGUUGAUGGAAGCAAAGAGAAUGAGGCUGAAGCUGUUGAAGAUGAUGCAGUAUUUGAAUGCACAGAAUUACUACAGGAACAACAUUAGCAAGUUAUUGCUUCUUCUUCAAGACAAGAAGAGCAAAUGGAUCAUACCAGUUCACAAAUGUAUGAUCAUACUCCAUUAAGGUUCAGAAGCUUGAAUGAAAUUUAUGAAAGGUGCAAUUUCUGUGUGAUAGAACCUGAAUGUUUUGAAGAAGCAUCAGGAGAUGAGGCUUGGAGAAAAGCUAUGUCCACAGAGAUUGAGAUGAUCGAAAAGAAUGACACAUGGGAGUUGGUCAAAAGGCCAUUUGAUAAACCUGUAAUUGGUGUAAGUGGGUUUACAAAACAAAACUUAAUCUGGAUGGUUCAGUGCAGAAGAACAAGGCACGGCUAGUGGCUAAGGGUUAUUCUCAAAAGCCCGGAGUGGACUUCAAUGAGACCUUUGCACCUGUGGCAAGGCUUGAUACCAUUAGAACUCUAAUUGCAUUGGCAGCUCAAAAGGAAUGGAAGUUGUUUCAAUUGGAUGUUAAGUCUGCAUUCCUAAAUGGUACACUGCAUGAGGAAGUAUAUGUGGAUCAACCACAGGGAUUUGAAGUUCAAGGACAAGAAGAUAAGGUCUACAAGUUGAAAAAGGCUUUAUACGGUCUGAAACAAGCUCCCAGAGCUUGGUAUGAUGAGAUAGACAAUUAUUUCAAUCGAUCUGGUUUUGAGAAAAGCCAAAGUGAAGCUACUCUGUAUACAAAGUUCAGUGAUGCAGGUGUGCUUAUUGUAUCUCUGUAUGUAGAUGACAUUAUCUACACAGGGAAUUCUGAUGAAAUGAUUCAAGAAUUUAAGAAGGAUAUGAUGAAGCAAUAUGAGAUGUCAGAUCUGGGAUUGUUACAUCACUUCAUUGGUCUGGGCAUAAUUCAAACAGAUAAGAGUAUAUUUAUUCAUCAGAAGAAAUAUGCCAAGUCACUACUUGAGAAAUUUGGAUUGAAAGAAUGUAAAGCAGUAAAAACACCACUUGCAGUUGAUGACAAGUUAUCUAAGGAAGAUGGAAGUGAGGAUGCUGAUGAAAGUUUGUACAGGACAGUGGUUGGUAGUCUGUUAUACCUGACAGCUACUAGACCUGAUCUAAUGUAUGCAUCAUGUUUGCUGGCAAGGUUCAUGCACAAACCUACUAGAAAACACAUGGGGACAACUAAAAGAGUCUUGAGAUAUGUGCAAGGCACAUUGGAUUUUGGAAUCGAAUAUGUGAAAGGAAAAGCUGCUGUGUUGAUAGGAUACUGUGAUAGUGAUUGGGCAGGAAGCUUGGAUGACGUGAAGAGCACCUCAGGCUAUGCAUUUAGUUUAGGUUCAGGAGUGUUUUCUUGGGCUUCUGUUAAACAAUGCAGUGUGGCUUUAUCUACUGCAGAGGCCGAGUAUGUAAGUGCUGCAGAAGCUACAACACAAGCAAUGUGGUUGAGGUUUGUUUUAUCUGAUUUUGGAGAAGAACAAGUGGAGGCUACACCUUUGUUGUGUGACAACACCUCUGCCAUAGCCAUGUCUAAGAAUCCAGUGUUUCAUCAUAAAACCAGGCAUAUUAAUCGGAGGUACCAUUUCAUAAGAGAUGCCAUUCAAGAUGGGACAAUUGAACUGCAUUAUUGCAGCACAGAGGAGCAAUUGGCAGACAUCUUUACCAAGGCUCUUCCUAAGGAUCGAUUCGAAUAUUUGAGAACUGCUCUUGGUGUGAAAUCAGCAAAACAUUUAGAAGGGAGUAUUGGAGUAUAAAUGUAUUUGUUGUGGUAGUUUCAUUAUAAACAAAGUGUAGGAUCUAAUGUAAACCUUUGGAUCAUAUUCCAAUUGGUAUUUAGAUUAGAUUAGAUUAGAAUGAGUCAUAGCUCAUGACAUGUGCAAGCAUCUUAUAUGAUGACUUAGAAAUGAAUGGUUGUGAUGGAUUUGUAAUGUUGUGAGAGAGUGAAGUUGUUUCUCACUCCUCCAACGUUAAAUCAUGCUCUUUGAGCUCUUUGCUUUGUGAACAAGUUGAAUACACUAAAACCUUGAAAGAAAGCUCUGCUCUCUGUGUGUGUGUGCACUUACUGUUCCAUUGAAUCUACCCAGAAAAUCAAACACUAAUACUCCCCAGUGAGUACCCCAGUAUUAUCAUGAGGGAAAUAUGUCGAUCGGAAAGUUGAUGACCGCGAUGAAACUAAGAUCACAGGAAAUGGGAGUGAUCGGAAAGUUUCUGAACCAGGUGAGAUGCAGAAACUUACUGCAACUGCGGGUGGUUGAAGUUGGAAAUGCAAGAGACUGAAAGAAAUGGAGAUCAACAGCUAGUAAUAGGAGGGAGGAGAGCAGGUUAAGUUUUUAAUACCAAUGGAGUGGGAAGUAAGAGAAGUAGGAGAUUCCUCAUAGAUGAUCAGAGUGGCUCAGUGGGCAAAGAAGAGGAAACGGCUUUAAACCGGAAACUAAACAGGGGAUGAUCAACCCGUCCAUUCUCCAGAUGUCGAAAACUUGGAGCUUCUAAACCCUGCAAAAGCCAAAGAUGAUAGGAAACAGAAACUUGAAGUUGGAAAAUCGAAAGAGUACAAGGACGUUAAAGACAUCAACAAAAUAACCUAAACAACACGGACACCAGGAAAUCAGAAAAUAAUGAGGAAGAAAUGAAAUGUUAGCUUCUGUAGCAUUGUCGCGGGGAAGGGAGGAGAAAGGGUAAAUAGAGAUUAUGAAGGAUUGGUA
rnacentral:lncRNA from 1 species